AAGAGACAGCAGCCGCCGCGGUAAUACAGAGGGUGCGAGCGUUAAUCGGAUUUACUGGGCGUAAAGCGUGCGUAGGCGGCUUCUUAAGUCGGAUGUGAAAUCCCUGAGCUUAACUUAGGAAUUGCAUUCGAUACUGGGAAGCUAGAGUAUGGGAGAGGAUGGUAGAAUUCCAGGUGUAGCGGUGAAAUGCGUAGAGAUCUGGAGGAAUACCGAUGGCGAAGGCAGCCAUCUGGCCUAAUACUGACGCUGAGGUACGAAAGCAUGGGGAGCAAACAGGAUUAGAUACCCGUGUAGUCCCUGUCUCUUAUAA
rnacentral:rRNA from 1 species